CCUCACCUUCGGUACAACACUAAACGAGAAGCCUGACUUAACUUGUUUUUGGUUGGGGCGACCAAGGAGAAAAACAAAACCUCCUUAUCGAGUGUGUGAGCACUCACUCAAAAAUUAGAACCACCAUUCUAAUUAAUAGAAAAAUCUAACGAACAAUGACCCAGGGAGCCCUCCCUGAUCAAUGGACCAAGUUACCCUAGGAUA
rnacentral:rRNA from 1 species